GACGAACGCUGGCGGCGUGCCUAAUACAUGCAAGUAGAACGCACAGUUUAUACCGUAGCUUGCUACACCAUAAACUGUGAGUUGCGAACGGGUGAGUAACGCGUAGGUAACCUGCCUGGUAGCGGGGGAUAACUAUUGGAAACGAUAGCUAAUACCGCAUAAUAUUGAUUAUUGCAUGAUAAUUGAUUGAAAGAUGCUAUUGCAUCACUACCAGAUGGACCUGCGUUGUAUUAGCUAGUAGGUGAGGUAACGGCUCACCUAGGCGACGAUACAUAGCCGACAGGAGAGGGUGAUCGGCCACACUGGGACUGAGACACGGCCCAGACUCCUACGGGAGGCAGCAGUAGGGAAUCUUGGGCAAUGGACGAAAGUCUGACCGAGCAACGCCGCGUGAGUGAAGAAGGUUUUCGGAUCGUAAAGCUCUGUUGUAAGAGAAGAACGGGUGUGAGAGUGGAAAGUUCACACUGUGACGGUAUCUUACCAGAAAGGGACGGCUAACUACGUG
rnacentral:rRNA from 1 species